rnacentral:lncRNA from 1 species
UACCAUUUUGCCCCUCGACUAAUCCGUUUAUCCGCGCGGAUCAAAUACCUUUCGCAGGCCCUUCCGAAAGUCCGAUUGAGCUCAAAUUUGGCAGGAAUGUUCGUUUUUACUUGACAAGUCCACUGAAAUUUUAACAUUUCAGUUUCGACCCCGUUUGGUCACUGCGAACUGUCCCGAACUGUAAUCUUUAUCCGAUAACUUUCAGAUGCUAUUUCUCUCUCUACAGGUGUUAGAAAAAUAUGAAACUUCAAAUCUAGCCUCAUAAUAAUGUUCCUGACAUCUCUGCGAAUUUUCAUAAUUUUCUGACGCUGUGCAUUUUCUGCUAAUUUUCUCAGUCCCAUUCUUUACAGAAAAUUUCAAAUCUUCUGUUUUCGCUCCGAUUUCACCCAAACACUUCCAAAAUACACCAAGGGACCUUCCCAAGCUACCAAUUUAAUUUGGAAAUAAUUCCUUUUCAUUUUGACAUUAUUUGAGCCGAAUUAGAAAUAGAAUCGGCUCCAAUUCCAAUACAUGGCCGUUUUGCACUACCACUUCGCACUGAGCUCUUCAAAACCCUUUGAAAACACACCCUUGGCUUUUCCAAAACUUCACAAUUGAUUCGGAGAUACUACAAUGUAUCCUUCCGCCUUACUUUAAUUCUUUUAAUCAAAGUUAGGGUCGGAAAUCCGAAAUUCUCUUUACUCUCUUUACAUUUCGUUUCGCGCCCAAUUUGCGCCGACACACUUAUUUCUCUUUGGAACUCAUUCCAACGCAUCACAAAUCCCUCGGGGAUGAUGUCCAACUAGCUCAAUCCUCACUUUGACCCUCUAGGUCAAAGUUGACAUCGCGACUCCAAGUUUCCAUAUGUUACAUUCUCCUCCCGUUAACAAAAGUUUCGUCCGCGAAACUUAGAUCAUUACCCCUUAUUGCUUAACGGAUGGAGAUAACUUUCCAAAUGCUAUUCCAAAGUUUCUCAAUUUCAUUCCAUACUAUACUGAUUUCUCCAAAUCAGUCUCUACGAACACUUUGUUCGCAUUUCCCAAUCUCAACUCGUCAUCGAUGCUUAUUUUAGCAAUUCUGAGUAAUUCAUCCAUAGGACCAAGCUUUUGCUUUCACGGUCUCUACUCAUAAUCUACUUGCAUAGAUCUACUACACUCGCUUUCAGUAUGAAUGAGUAAACCAGUACCACAAUUCGGUUCAUAAGUUACCGAUCCGAUACAGGCCGAUUGCCUAACCCAACCAUGAUACGACAUAAUGCCUCUCGCUCGCAAGCGUAGACCCAAUUAUCACGUAGCAAAGUUCUCAUUUGCGACAUCGCAUACCUGCUCCAACUGGGAGCAACCGAGACCCUAAACCACGUCAAGUCCUCGGGUUGGUUCGCUACACACUCUGAGUGUUCUCGAUCUCACGAUCUAACACGUGGCAUCCCACGUACUCGGGUUUAUGCUCGGACUACCGUCCUGACCAAAACUCUCUGCCCUACCCGUAGGUACCGGGCCGCUGCCUCUCGCAGCUGACUGCGCCUGCCCUAUGGGCCCAGGCUCCACAGUCUAAAAAGGGUCCAGGCACGGAUCGUCCCCAAGCACUACCCGCCAACGUCGUUUCACACGAAAUGCUCUACAGAGCUACAAGUAUCACUAUCGGCUCCUAAGCACCUAGUGCGAGCCACCAGCCCCGCGAGUGAUCCUUGGUACGCUUCACACUUAGCAACGCUCAAGUGCUACUGCCAACACACUCUCCUGGCUGAAUCAGAAUCCACAUUCUACGGACAGCUAUACUCAAGCGUCCUACACUAUCGCGUCUCUUGCCAGACAUCUCACGCUAGGCAAUUCAACCUAUGUCUCAAUUACGCAACCACAAUUCCUCAACUUAUUUGAGGUACAACUUAACUAACUCGCCAAAACCAGGCGAUCAUCUAACCAUGCCACAACAGUGACGCCCUUACCACUACACAAUCCAUCGGAAAUACCAUCUGGAUUUUCGAACUCUAGAAACGUCUUCUAACGUUUCUACUUUAAUUCUCAUUACCACCCGAAUGGUUUAGAGAAUAGGUCCACCAUGUCCAUCUUCAUCUCGAGCCCCAACAUUGGCUCACUGUGACUGCUCGCUAGCACGAUCCAACUGUCUAUUCCACAAUAGACAAUAUAUUCUCUUCCUCCCUGCAUGCUAGGGUCAAAUCCAAGUUUCUAUUUCAUUCCUCUCGAAGUAAGAGGUCAACCAACAGACCUUUCCGAAUUCUAGGAUAACGACUACAACUCCCUUCCAAGUGUCACUUAACAUUCGAUUAACCACUUAAGCUCAAUAUCAGUCGCUUAUCGUUCAUUCUUCACUAAUCAAUUCGCGCAUCUUCCGCCCAAAUAUCACUUAACUUCGACCAUAAGAUUCAAUUUGAAGUCCAUAGCUUAGGACUGCGUAUAACUUUGACACAUUUUCUGUCGAAGUUUCCUUAUUUCAUAAUCGGCCUUGUUUCCAAUAUCUCUUACACUGGUGUACUAAUCAUAGCUUAGCAUAUAGAAAAUCUUUCUACCUACUUUUCCAUCAAAUAUAGGCGGAUUAAACCACAUAAACGCCGUCAGUCCUACUAACGAUUGCUUGUGCUCAGCCCUUGUUGCAGUCGAAUCAGAAUCAGACGGCCCAGAAACCACUGGAGGGAUAAUCACUGAAAAAGGGGGGGCACAAUCGCUGGCGGAUCAGGUAUAGGUGCAUCCUGACUCCCAGAUACUGGUGUUGUCGCCCGUUGCGACACUAGAUCCUAUAACCUCAUUAUGUUCUCUUCCUGCCUCUGCAUAGCUCCAGCUCCAAUGCGCUCACCGGAGCACGUAGCUCCAGAACUUCGCUAGAUCCAGUCUGCUCUGGCAUCCUAGAAGGUGAUGCCGGAGUGGAUCUCGUCGCACGUCGCGACAUUUCUCUUGAAAUGAACCCUUUACACUAGUAAAACAAUACCAAUCAGGCGAAAGCAAUCAAGUAUAUUUAUACUCAACUCUUAGCUUUAUGUUGUGGGCCCCCAACAUAACUCCUUAGUUGUAUAUAAAUAACACUUGGAUCAGCCCCUAAUUAACAUUAGAGACUUACUAACAACUAACCAAAUUUAUUUAGCUUUCGCUAUCAUUAGAUUCGCGCCACUCGCGUUCCUGGUUCCUAGGUUUCCAUUCCUAAGUCCCCUAGGUCAUCCUAGACUUUCACUAUCACUUGCUCUGAUACCACUCUAUCUGUCACGUCCCGAGCCUCGCCUAUUUGGUCGAUCCGGGCCCGUACACAGACGCCGAACGAACAGUACCUCCUCUGUUCGCCCAAGGCUCAACAACAACGGAUACAUGUAUAAAGAAAUUAAACAAUUCCCAGGAUCACAUUUCAAUAUACAUGGCUUGCACGAUGGCAAGCAACAACACAAGUGAUAGUACGUCUAACUAAACAUAUAAUCCACUGUAAUUUAAAACUUUACAUAACUGAAACAUUUAGUUAUUACAUGCUUUAUAUACAAUCAUUUACAUGUCUCUGUACAUCGAAAUAGAUAAUACAUGAACCCAAAAUGGUAUACCACUAGUACUCGGGUGUCCACUAGCUAGGCUGCUGGCUCUUGCCUCGAUCCUCGGCCACAAUACUCGUACUGGAACCUGUAUGGUUAGUGGUGUGUGAGAACUACAAGAAAGUUCCCAGUGGGUUCGGCUGCCGACUUCGCCGACUCACCCACUAGGUCUAUUCAGGCAUAUGUAGGCAAGAAAAGUAAGCAAAUAGUAACCAACUAUAACAUGUAACUACUACAAUGCCUGUACAAAGCUGAAAGAAGUAACAGAUAUGAAAACUGUAAAUAUGCAUGCAUGCUUUUCAUUAACUUUACCUAAUCUUUUGAUUAACCCUCUGGUUAACAGCUGGACAAGUACGUUAGUCCAUAAAUUUACCCAAUUCAGUGGUUAACCCUUUGGUUAACAAUAACUCACCAACGAAAUCCCUCACGGGCCCUAAGCUGCCUCCCGAUGGGACCGUCUGUCGGACAAGUACGUUAGUCCUGGGGCUAGUACGUUAGCCCAACAAGUGACUACUCCGGAGCUCACUGCCUGGGGGGAGCGACCACCACCAAGCUAAGAAAACAGACUAUGUGAGUAAGAUCUGAUCCCCUUUUAGAGGAUUCAACUGACAACAAUGUCACAAUUUAACUCUAACUAGUUCUUUAUACUAGUUUCAUAAUUGCAUUUCUCGAUGCUAACCAAAUCUCUAAUCAUGAUGUCACCAAGUUUACUAUUGUCUUAGUCCUUUACAGUUUCAUAAUUUCACUGUUUAUCUCACAAUGCUAUCCAAUUCUCUAGUUAGAAUGUCACCAAGUUUACUAUUGUCAAAGUCCAUGCAUUCAUAGGGUUCUAUGUCCACAAUCUAAGGUUCACAAAUUCUCAUUGUUGAUAGGAAUUCACAUUUUCACUCGCUCAAUGCCAAACACCCUAUAAUGCGUGACUACAAAUAUAAAUAUGCUCAACGAAGAAUUAUAGACAUAAAAGGUGAUUCAAAGAGUUCGGAUAGCACCACCCACCUGUAGUGGUGUCAAUCAACUAAAAUCCACGUCUCGGAAAGCGUCGAGACUAUCUCUCGCGACUCCAUGCAAUUAGGACUAGAACGGCCGCUACCGUAAUUAGCGCGUCGUCGACCUGUCGGAAAGUCAAAUUAGACUCUUGGGCACGUUUACUUUUCACUUAUAAAGGAUUAGAAAAGAUUAAACUAGAGUCAAUACUCAUAUUUUACAAAUUAGCAUUUCAAUGCUAUAUAAAACGGCAACUAUAGCCGAAAAACUUCUUUUGGCGAUAUCUUUGCGUAGGUUCGUCGGAUUGCCGAACCGACUUCGCCAACGCGUUUCUUUUACCCUCAAUUUGGUUUACACGCGGUCAAUUUCGCAUUAGGACUCUUAUUUUGCAAAAGUGCAUUGCCGGGGUCAGUUUUCAUUUAAACCCCGUUUUUAUAGAAACCCUAACUUAUUUUGCAUCUUUUCAUUUUCUUUCUUUCAUUUUUUCUUCUUAUUCUUUCUUUCUUUUCUUUUCUUACUUUCUUUCUUUCUUUCUUUCUUUUCUUUCUUUCUUUCCUCACUUUCUUUCUUUCUUUCCUUUUCUUUCCCUGCAGGCUGCAGCUGCUGCUGCUGUUGAAGCUUCUCUGCUGAAGCUGCUGCUGCUGCGGACUGCUCAGCAGCUAGCUGAGCUGCUGCUGCUGAAGCCCUGCUGCUGCUGCUGUUCUUGCUAAGCUGCUGCUCAGCAGCUUGCGCAAGCUGCUGCUGCUGCUAAAGCUCUGCGCAAGGCUGCUGAGGCUGCUGCUGCUAACUGCCGAGCUGCUGCUGCUGAUUCUACUACUGCUGCUGCUGAAGCCCCUGCUGACAGCAGCUACCACUGCUGACUGCCAAGCUGCUGCUGCUAUUACUUGCUCAGCCUCUAGGCUGAGCUGCAGCUGCUGCUGCUGAUUGCUUGCUGCUGCUGACAGCAGCAGAGAAAAGGGAGUGAGGGGGGGAAAGAAAACAGAGCAAAGAGAGGAAAAGAAAUAGAAAUCUUUACCUUUCUUUCUUCUUUGUCUUUCUUCUUCUUCUUCUCUUUUCUCUUCUCUUCUUUGCUCCUUCUUUUCUCCUUCUCUCUCUCUGGACGUAGGCAGCAAGAAUGAAGAGGGAGGGGAUAAGGAUGGAGCUCCCUGGCAGGGGACUUAGUGGAAUUCCACUAACUUGGUGAUAAUUACCAUAAUGCCCCUCGACUAAUCCGUUUAGCGACACGGAUCAACUACCUUUCGCAGGCCCUUCCGAAAGUCCGAUUGAGCUCAAAUUUGGCAGGAAUGUUCGUUUUUACUUAACAAGUCCACUGAAAUUUUAACAUUUCAGUUUCGACCCCGUUUGGUCACUGCGAACUGUCCCGAACUGUAAUCUUUAUCAGAUAACUUCCAGAUGCUAUUUCUCUCUCUACAGGUGUCAGAAAAAUCUGAAACUUCAAAACUAACCUUAUAAUAAUGUUCCUGACAUCUCUGCCAAUUUUCGUAAUUUUCUGACACUGUGCAUUUUCUGCUAAUUUUCUCAGUCCCGUUCUUUACAGAAAAUUUCAAAUCUUCUGUUUUUGCUCCGAUUUUAACACGAACACUUCCAAAACAUGCCAAGGGACUUUCACAA